CUCCUCCUUUAUUCAAUCACAAUUGUAUCAUUUACAAAAAAAGGAACGUUUCGGGACGGCACGCCGGCUGAAAUUUCAGCCGGUCGCUCUAGUGGCCCACGCACCGCACGACGUCCCUUAUCUUAUCUUUUCCCCACACCAUACCACAUCCAAAUCGUAUCCUCUCUCACUUUCCUACCUCGUCGCCGCCCAAUCUUCUUGGCUCUCCUCCCCGACCUCUCCUACAACAAGCUCCACGGGCUCUCCGCCAAACACGUCAUGCUGCUGAUGUGAGGUUCAGCCAUGGCAUGCGAGCUCAUAGAAUUAGGGGCGGCCAUGGCCUGCAAGCUCUCACUGCAAAAUACGGCGGGGGCGACGAGCGAUCCCAUGGCCGAUGCUGCAAGCGAGGUGGAUGCCGGCGGAUUGGACGGCGAGGUCGUGGCGUCGCGCUUCCCCCCACUACCGGGUCAUCAUGGUGAAGUCGGCAUCCUUUCUUCGGAAACUCCAUCGUACUUACGAAAGAAUAAGGGGGUAUUCCGGGAGAACGGACCUCUGCAAGGUUGAUUAUCUGGUAACUAACAUCGGGGAAGGUGGCGGAAAGUAACUCUCGAACUGAAACUUAAGAAAAUAUCGAGAGCAAAGUCAGAAGGUACCAUGAUGAGUUUCAAGCCGGUAGGCAAUCGUUCGAUGCCUGUUACAGGGCGUGGAAGGGGUUCAAAGCAACGGGAAUAAGUAUUGUGUC